GAUGAACGCUAGCGGCAGGCUUAAUACAUGCAAGUCGUGGGGCAGCAUGAAUGUAGCAAUACAUUUGAUGGCGACCGGCAAACGGGUGCGGAACACGUACACAACCUUCCUAUAAGUGGGGAAUAGCCCAGAGAAAUUUGGAUUAAUACCCCGCAACAUAACGAUGUGGCAUCACAUUGUUAUUAUAGCUUCGGCGCUUAUUGAUGGGUGUGCGGCUGAUUAGAUAGUUGGCGGGGUAACGGCCCACCAAGUCUACGAUCAGUAGCUGAUGUGAGAGCAUGAUCAGCCACACGGGCACUGAGACACGGGCCCGACUCCGACGGGAGGCAGCAGUAAGGAAUAUUGGUCAAUGGACGCAAGUCUGAACCAGCCAUGCCGCGUGAAGGAUUAAGGUCCUCUGGAUUGUAAACUUCUUUUAUCUGGGACGAAAAAAGGCUUUUCUAAGUCACUUGACGGUACCAGAUGAAUAAGCACCGGCUAACUCCGUGCCAGCCGCCGCGGUAAAAC
rnacentral:rRNA from 1 species